GCCGAAGUGGUGGAAUUGGUAGACACGCUAGGUUCAGGGUCUAGUGGGAGUAGUCCCGUGGGAGUUCGAGUCUCCCCUUCGGCACCA
rnacentral:tRNA from 1 species